rnacentral:lncRNA from 1 species
ACUCGCGCACACCCCUCAGUGCGCCCCGGGCGGGGGCUGCCGUCCUCCGCGACUCAAGAGCGAGCGCCCCCGCUCCCCGGCCCACCCGAGCCCCUCUGCGUUCCCCGCUCUUCUGUGCGGGGACAGCUGCUGCUUUGGGGGCGACGCUAAGCCGCGUGGAGGCGUCUCUGGACAGCCCCCUCCCUCCAACGAGCCCGAAAAGCCCGCGGCAGCAGCCGGGGGUCCCUACCUUCUGCGGGGGGGUCCCGAUCAGCAUCUCCAGGAGGCACUUGAAGUACAGACAAAGAGAAAAGUCUACCAAGGAAAGGGAGAAGAGCAAGCUGAGGACGCCAAAGAAUCUUGUUUGGGAUCUGCAGAUAGCAACAAGAAUCUUUAAUAAGAACAACAGAGAGAUGGUAUUUCCAGACAAGGGAAUAAAUUCCCGGAAGCAACUGGCCAAGGAAUGAAAAUCCUGGAGAACAGAGUGGAAGAAACGCGUAUUCCACAUUUCCUGUUGAUUUUCUUUCCUCCCUAAACACUGACCUCCCGCAGUCUUCACUAGCAGGGUGUUCUGGCCUCCAGAGCAUCUGGAUGGGUUCCAGGAUAUAAAUGUGACACUGUCAUUGCAUUAAAGUAGUCGAGCUGAAACCCCUGAAAACAAUCGUAGGACGAUGACAAGGUUUUGGCAGCUGCAAUCUUAAAGACCAGGAAGUGAGGUGAGGUCACCUGUAGAGGUCAUGCUGCGGAGUCCCGAGUCCCUGAUUAUAUUCAAGACGUGGAGCUCUCUUUUUCCCGUCCUGCUUUCUUUCCAGAAGUGCCUCAGAUGCAUCCUCCCCUUCUCUUUUCUCCACAUGAAGACGUCACUGACCAUCUUCUCUGGUUUGCUUUCCAACACCGAGCACCAAGUGCUUCAAAGGUCAUGGUGCCCUGGGGCCGAGAGCUACUUAUGUGGGCAUUUAUAACCAAAUAAAUAUUGAAAUGGCCCACAAAGCAAAUGUUAGUGGUAACCAACAGCGGUAAAACUGGGUACAUGGGACCCUGAACCUUCUUGAAUAUUCCCCAUGAGACCCUGGGCCGACCUUCGGGCUUUCCAGUGUGCUCAGAAAAUCCUCCGUGGCUCCCAGCCCCAGCUUAGUCUUUCAACGGUCCUCGGACUGAAGCAAGAGACAGGGAAGGAAUUGUCCAAGGUUUUCCAGCAUGCUGAGAACACUUACCAUGGUGGAGCCUGGCACGUACUGGCUCUUUGAUGCAUGUGUAUUGGUCUCAAGUAGCCAGAAGCAUCUCCUCUGAGAGCCCUUGCCCUCCAGUUUAAAUGGCAAAUGGAAGGGAAUGGGUUCUGGAAGGCCCCAGGUGGGCUGGGGUGGGUUCUGGAGACCAUCUUCCAACUCCUGUUCAGGAGGAGGGUUGGUCAGAUCAGCUCUGUGGCCACCUGGGCUCUGGAGGGGCGAGAUACGGGCAGGUGCGGCCACAGGAGGGAGAGCACCAUGUGCGGGGGAAGCCCACAGCUGGAACCAAAAGGCCCCAGGAGGGAUCCUGGCUCUGACAUCUCCCAGCCGUGUGGCCUUGGGCAAGGUCCCUGACUUGGACCUCAGCCUCCUCAUCUGUAAAACAGGCAGAACAGUAAUACCGACCUUGUAGGUUGUAUAGAGUUCAUAUACAUCAAGCACUUACCACAGUGCCUGGCGGACCGCAUGCCCUAAACACACAAUCCGUGAAAUGAAUCCAUCAGCAAGCAGCUGCUAGGGGCAGUGUGGGGCAGAGAGGCAGCUGCCUGCUGGAACUGGCUGACAGGAGGAUGAGUGUGUGGCAGGAGGAACGCUCUGCACAGAGGACACUAGGUAGCGUCACCUGUCUCUUACCCUGUGUCUCCACUGGAAUGGAAUGUCAGACUCGCACCAUGCAUUCCUUUCCCUGCCAAAACGCCUCCUCUUAGCAGUGAGCAAGAAAGUUGUUCGAGUGGAUGAAGCCAAAAGCCCAUUUGGCAAGAGUGCUGUUUUGGAAAAUGCUUAGCGGUGUGGGUUGGGAUGAGGUUUUCUGUGCCUUUCCAUUAUUUCUUCAGCUUCAUGUAACCCUGACUGAGCAAUGCUCAGCAGAGUGAAGGCUGGGCAGCAGAUGGACAAGAUUUUCUCAAACUCCUUUUUAAGCCAAUUUCAAAAUAGAGAGAGGGAAAAAUCCUUGUUUUCUCUUUUCGGUUUUGAGAGGUUUCAUAUGCAGACACAAUUUUAAAUUUUAUUUUUUUUGCCCCCAAUGAGAUGUUUGGAGAUGGUGGUACUAGAACAGGAAGGAAUUUAUAAGUAUUGGGGAAUUUUUCAUCCCAAUUCCCAUAUCCUCCUAUAAUUCAAGGAGUGAAUGGGUAGUGUUUUUGUUUUUGUGAGAGGGGUGGCGGAGGGUAGAGAGAGAAAGAGAGAGAGACAGAGAGAGAUUACAUAGAGGUGUCCAAAAUGAACACAGUAAAAACCAGUUUUGAUUAAUUCUGCAAUAUUAAGUAGGCAGCCAAAAAUUUUGGUCUGCUUAAUUCUUAGCUCAUCUAAGUCUCCAGUUGACUGAUUGAUUGAUUGAAUGACUUAUUCAACAUGCGCUAGCCAGACACUGGUCUAGGGCCCAGGAAUUCAGCAAUAAAUGAAACAAGA